GAUGAACGCUGGCGGCGUGCCUAAUACAUGCAAGUCGAGCGAACAGACGAGGAGCUUGCUCCUCUGACGUUAGCGGCGGACGGGUGAGUAACACGUGGAUAACCUACCUAUAAGACUGGGAUAACUUCGGGAAACCGGAGCUAAUACCGGAUAAUAUAUUGAACCGCAUGGUUCAAUAGUGAAAGACGGUUUUGCUGUCACUUGUAGAUGGAUCCGCGCCGCAUUAGCUAGUUGGUAAGGUAACGGCUUACCAAGGCAACGAUGCGUAGCCGACCUGAGAGGGGGAUCGGCGACACUGGAACUGAAACACGGUCAAGACGCCUAAGGGAGGGAGCAGUAGGGAAUCUUCCGCAAUGGGCGAAAACCUGACGGAGCAACGCCGCGUGAGUGAAGAAGGUCUUCGGAUCGUAAAACUCUGUUAUUAGGGAAGAACAAAUGUGUAAGUAACUAAGCACGUCUUGACGGUACCUAAUCAGAAAGCCACGGCUAACUACGUG
rnacentral:rRNA from 1 species